rnacentral:rRNA from 1 species
CAGUCUAUCAUGUGCACAAGUCAUUAGGUUUACUAAACCUACAGGCGAAGCGAAAGCAAUGAGCCGAUCCUCUCUUUAAAUAUAGAGGCGCAGGUUCGGGACUCGUAUCCCAAUUAGGGCAUGCGAGUCCUCUGAGUGCAUGUUGUAGUACCCGAAAGAUGAUGAACUAUACCUGGCCAGGACGAAGCCGGAGGAAACUCUGGUGGAGGUCCGUAACGUUUCUGACGUGCAAAUCGAUCGUAUGAGCUGGGUAUAGGGGCGAAAGACCAAUCGAAUCAUCUAGUAGCUGGUUCCCUCCGAAGUUUCCCUAAGGAUAGCUGGUACAUGAAAGCUCCGGAGUACUCACGGUAAAGCCACUGACUAUGACAGGCGUUUGAUAAAUUUUGGCAAUUGUUUCUCAUACUACAAAUGUCUGUCAUAUCGGUAUACUCCCGUGAUGCUCCGACAGGAGCUUCAUUUCUUUUGGAGAUGUAUGUAUGUAGUGGGCCAUUUUUGGUAAGCAGAACUGGUGCUGUGGGAUGAACCAAACGUUGAGUUAAGGGGCCUAAAUGAAAGCCCUCAGACCCAUGAAAGGGUGUUAGUUGCUAUAGACAGCGGGACGGUGGCCAUGGAAGUUGGAAUCCGCUAAGAG